rnacentral:lncRNA from 1 species
AUGCUGAAGAGAUUGGAUCCACUAGUGAGCUCAUUGGGUUGGGAGUCUCUGCACGCACAUUCACAGCCAAACAAGAAGACACAGUCACCAACUGUGGUCCUCUGGACGCCGAGGACGCUCCAGAGACUCAACCGCUGCACUCAGCGAUCGCCCUGCAGCCACCCAACCAGAGCAACACGCCCCAGAGGCCGGAUACAGACCCACAGCCACCCAGCCAACCCUCCACAGCUGCUGGCCUUAUCCAAGGACAGGCAGACGAGGAAGCCGUUCCUGUCAUUACAGAGACCGCUAAACCAGAAGCUGAGACGGUUGUUACCAAUGGAUUACAGUCUUAUGCUGGAAGUGAGAAGUCUUUGUCCAGUCAGCAAAGAGCCAGGACAGAAGUGGAGGGUGAGGCGCUGGAGCCAACUAACGGGGGUCCCAGGAGAGUUUUAUUCCGAACCCAGCCAGAUGUGCUGUUCCUCACCCUGCAGGAUGAGGUGGCGGCCACGACUCCUUCUCCACCAGACACUGAAGAAGAUGAGGAGGAUCAGAGUUAUGCACAAAGACAACCGGAGAGAAGGAGGGGUCACAGGGAAAGGACGGGCCUCAGCAGCAGGUUGGAGGAGGAAGAUUUUGAAGAACCUCUGUCGUAUCGCAGACAGAGGAACAAAAAAGCAGAGGAGGAGCUACAUCACAUAUCCGAGAAACUCUCACAUCGACUUGAGGAACUUGAUCAGGUGUGUGGAUUGUGUAUUUUAAUCCUACCAGUAUGUCUGUUUUAUUCAGGUUGGGUUAAAGCUUGUA